ACAUCAGUGAGGUACAUCCUUACCUGUUAUCUUAGAAAUAAGGUUUCAGAACAUGAUGAUUGGAUUCAUAUGAAGACAUGAUUAUUAUCUGUGUUCAUUUUGGAUAGCAACUCCUUAAUGAAUCCUAUCUGAA